AUACGGAGGAUCCGAGCGUUAUCCGGAUUUAUUGGGUUUAAAGGGUGCGCAGGCGGGAGAUUAAGUCGGCGGUGAAAUUUUGCAGCUCAACUGUAAAAGUGCCUUCGAUACUGGUUUCCUUGAGUGUGGAUGAAGUAGGCGGAAUUUGUGGUGUAGCGGUGAAAUGCUUAGAUAUCACGAGGAACUCCGAUUGCGCAGGCAGCUUACUAAACCACUACUGACGCUCAGGCACGAAGGCGUGGGGAUCAAACAGGAUUAGAUACCCUGGUAGUCCACGCAGUAAACGAUGAUUACUAGCUGUUUGCGAUACAAUGUAAGCGGCUGAGCGAAAGCGUUAAGUAAUCCACCUGGGGAGUACGUUCGCAAGAAUGAAACUCAAAGGAAUUGACGGGG
rnacentral:rRNA from 1 species